UACAGAGACUGCAAGCGUUAUUCGGAUUCACUGGGCGUAAAGCGUGCGUAGGCGGUUCGUUAAGUCUGCUGUGAAAGCCCUGGGCUCAACCUGGGAACUGCAGUGGAUACUGGCGGACUAGAGUGUGAUAGAGGAUGGUGGAAUUCCCGGUGUAGCGGUGAAAUGCGCAGAUAUCAGGAGGAACACCGGUGGCGAAGGCGGUGGUCUGGGCCGGUACUGACGCUGAGGAGCGAAAGCGUGGGGAGCGAACAGG
rnacentral:rRNA from 1 species